GGCGCUGUGGCUUAGGUAAAGCGCCUGUCUAGUAAACAGGAGAUCCUGGGUCCAAAUCCCAGCAGUGCCU
rnacentral:tRNA from 1 species